rnacentral:lncRNA from 1 species
GCAUCAUAGCUGGGAAACAGGGAUUCAAAAGACCCAGGCUGUUCCCUACAUAUGUUUCCUCCUCCGACAUCAGUUCAUCAGUCAACCAAGUCAAGUGAGAGUGGAGGCCAUGUAUUCCCUCUUAUUCUUGGGCACUCUCCUCCAAGGAGGAAAAGGCCAGGAGGUCCUGUUAGAGGAUGCACUCUGAGAGCCCGGGCUCCCUAAGGUGUGAGAGUUCUAAACAGCAGGUGUAGACUUUCAGGAGUGAGGAAUGAGGCAGGCAUUCCAAACCUGAAGCUUCAUCACCUUU